ACACGGAGGGUGCAAGCGUUAUCCGGAUUCAUUGGGUUUAAAGGGUGCGCAGGCGGAAUGAUAAGUCAGUGGUGAAAUCCUACAGCUUAACUGUAGAACUGCCAUUGAUACUGUCAUUCUUGAGUACACUUGAAGUGGGCGGAAUGUAUCAUGUAGCGGUGAAAUGCAUAGAUAUGCUACAGAACUCCGAUAGCGAAGGCAGCUCACUAAAUUGUAACUGACGCUCAGGCACGAAAGCGUGGGGAGCAAACAGGAUUAGAAACCCGGGUAGUCC
rnacentral:rRNA from 1 species